AUACGAAGGUGGCAAGCGUUGUUCGGAUUUACUGGGCGUAAAGAGAGCGUAGGCGGUUUGGUAAGCCCUGUGGGAAAUCUUCCGGCUCAACCGGGAAAGGUCGCGGGGGACUGCCAGGCUAGAGGGCGGGAGAGGAGCGCGGAAUUCCCGGUGUAGCGGUGAAAUGCGUAGAGAUCAGGAGGAAGGCCGGUGGCGAAGGCGGCGCUCUGGAACGAUCCUGACGCUGAGGCUCGAAAGCGUGGGGAGCAAACAGGAUUAGAAACCCCAGUAGUCC
rnacentral:rRNA from 1 species